AGUGAACGCUGGCGGCGUGCCUAACACAUGCAAGUCGAAGGUAGUGGCGCACGGGUGAGUAAUAUAUAGCUAAUCUGCCCCUUGCUGGAGGACAACAGUUAGAAAUGACUGCUAAUACUCCAUAGAAAGGGAUGAGACUAUAUCGUAUCAGCUAGUCGGUGGGGUAACGGCCUACCGAGGCUAUGACGCGUAACUGGUCUGAGAGGAUGAUCAGUCAAAGUGGGACUGGAGCACGGUCCAAACUCCUACGGGAGGCAGCCGUAGGGGAGAAUGCGCAAUGGGGGAAACACUGACGCAGCAACGGCGCGGGGAGGAUGACACUUUGCGGAGCGUAAACUCCUUUUGUUAGGGAAGCGGUACCUAACGAAUAAGCACCGGCUAACUCCGUGCCAGCAGCCGCGGUAAUUC
rnacentral:rRNA from 1 species